rnacentral:rRNA from 1 species
CCUACGGGGGGCAGCAGUGAGGAAUAUUGGUCAAUGGACGAGAGGCUGAACCAGCCAAGUAGCGUGAAGGAUGACUGCCCUAUGGGUUGUAAACUUCUUUUAUAUGGGAAUAAAAUGUUCCACGUGUGGGAUUUUGUAUGUACCAUAUGAAUAAGGAUCGGCUAACUCCGUGCCAGCAGCCGCGGUAAUACGGAGGAUCCGAGCGUUAUCCGGAUUUAUUGGGUUUAAAGGGAGCGUAGAUGGGUUGUUAAGUCAGUUGUGAAAGUGUGCGGCUCAACCGUAAAAUUGCCAUUGAUACUGGCAGCCUUGAGUACAGUUGAGGUAGGCGGAAUUCGUGGUGUAGCGGUGAAAUGCUUAGAUAUCACGAAGAACUCCGAUUGCGAAGGCAGCUUACUAAACUGCCACUGACAUUGAUGCUCGAAAGUCUGGGUAUCAAACAGGAUUAGAUACCCUUGUAGUC